AUGACUACGAAGAAGAACACCUACUAUCUACUCCCCAAAGAACCUGAACCAUUACACACCGUGCAGAAUAAGAAUAACAUUGGGAAGGUGUUGUUUCUUACAGCUGUGGCCAAGCCAAGAUAUGGUGAAGGUGGAGUUGUCACAUUUGACGGCAAGAUUGGCACUUGGGUCUUUGUCAAAGAGACUCCGACUGUUAGAAGAAGUCAAAACAAAGAAAGGGAGACUCUCGCACUGAAAUCAAUGAUUUUGACCCUAUGUCAUAAGGGAAUUUCUGUGCUAGAAAGUGAUCCUUGCUAUCCAAGACAUGUGGCCCAACAAAGGUGUUGGCAGAACCAUCUUUAUCCAUCAGGAUAA
rnacentral:rRNA from 1 species